AUACGUAGGGUGCGAGCGUUGUCCGGAAUUACUGGGCGUAAAGAGCUCGUAGGUGGUUUGUCGCGUCGUCUGUGAAAUUCCGGGGCUUAACUCCGGGCGUGCAGGCGAUACGGGCAUAACUUGAGUACUGUAGGGGAGACUGGAAUUCCUGGUGUAGCGGUGAAAUGCGCAGAUAUCAGGAGGAACACCGGUGGCAAAGGCGGGUCUCUGGGCAGUAACUGACGCUGAGGAGCGAAAGCAUGGGUGGCGACCAGGAUUAGAUACCCUGGUAGUCCAUGCCGUAAACGGUGGGCGCUAGGUGUAGGGGUCUUCCACGACUUCUGUGCCGUAGCUAACGCAUUAAGCGCCCCGCCUGGGGAGUACGGCCGCAAGGCUAAAACUCAAAGGAAUUGACGGGG
rnacentral:rRNA from 1 species